rnacentral:rRNA from 1 species
AACGUAGGAGACAAACGUUAUCCGGAGUUACUGGGCGUAAAGGGCGUGUAGGUGGUUUCGUAAGUCUGGCGUGAAAUUUCUCGGCUUAACCGAGGCAGGUCGUCGGAUACUGCGGGACUUGAGGACGGUAGAGGCGUGUGGAAUUCCGGGUGUAGUGGUGAAAUGCGUAGAGAUCCGGAGGAACACCAGUGGCGAAGGCGACACGCUGGGCCGUACCUGACACUGAUGCGCGACAGCAUGGGGAGCAAACAGG